rnacentral:rRNA from 1 species
UAAUACGUAGGGUCCAAGCGUUAUCCGGAAUCACUGGGCGUAAAGCGUGCGUAGGCGGAUGUUUAAGUGUAAUGCGAAAUCCUGUGGCUCAACCAUAUGGACUGUAUUGCAUACUGGAUAUCUUGAGGAAUGCAGAGGCAAGUGGAAUUACCGGUGUAGCAGUGAAAUGCGUAGAGAUCGGUAGGAACACCAAUGGCGAAGGCAGCUUGCUGGGCAUUAUCUGACGCUAAGGCACGAAAGCGUGGGGAGCGAACAGG